rnacentral:rRNA from 1 species
CCUACGGGAGGCUGCAGUGGGGAAUAUUGCACAAUGGGGGAAACCCUGAUGCAGCGACGCCGCGUGAGUGAGGAAGUAUUUCGGUACGUAAAGCUCUAUCAGCAGGGAAGAAAAUGACGGUACCUGACUAAGAAGCCCCGGCUAACUACGUGCCAGCAGCCGCGGUAAUACGUAGGGGGCAAGCGUUAUCAGGAUUUACUGGGUGUAAAGGGAGCGUAGACGGUUAAUCAAGUCAGAAGUGAAAACCCAGGGCUCAACCUUGGGACUGCUUUUGAAACUGAGUAGCUAGAGUGCAGUAGAGGUAAGCGGAAUUCCUAGUGUAGCGGUGAAAUGCGUAGAUAUUAGGAGGAACACCAGUGGCGAAGGCGGCUUACUGGACUGUAACUGACGUUGAGGCUCGAAAGCGUGGGGAGCAAACAGGAUUAGAUACCCUUGUAGUC